UACGUAGGGGCUAGCGUUAUCCGGAAUUACUGGGCGUAAAGGGUGCGUAGGUGGUUUCUUAAGUCAGAGGUGAAAGGCUACGGCUCAACCGUAGUAAGCCUUUGAAACUGGGAAACUUGAGUGCAGGAGAGGAGAGUGGAAUUCCUAGUGUAGCGGUGAAAUGCGUAGAUAUUAGGAGGAACACCAGUUGCGAAGGCGGCUCUCUGGACUGUAACUGACACUGAGGCACGAAAGCGUGGGGAGCAAACAGGAUUAGAUACCCGGGUAGUUCCUGAGCGGG
rnacentral:rRNA from 1 species